rnacentral:rRNA from 1 species
GCAGCAGCCGCGGUAAUACGUAGGUCGCAAGCGUUAUCCGGAAUUAUUGGGCGUAAAGAAUGCGUAGGUGGUUUGAGAAGUUGUCCGUUAAAGCUCCAGGCUCAACCUGGAAAUCGCGGACAAAACUCUCAAACUAGAGGAUAGCAGGGGCAAGCGGAAUUCCCGGUGUAGGAGUGAAAUCCGUUGAUAUCGGGAGGAACACCAAUGGCGAAGGCAGCUUGCUAGGUUAUCUCUGACACUGAGGCAUGAAAGCGUGGGGAGCGAACGGGAUUAGAUACCCCGGUAGUCCACGCCGUAAACGAUGCAUACUAGCUAUCAGAAGUAUCGACCCUUCUUGUAGCGAAGCUAACGCGUUAAGUAUGCCGCCUGGGAAGUACGGUCGCAAGACUAAAACUUAAAGGAAUUGGCGGGGGA